rnacentral:sRNA from 1 species
UAUCAUAGGGAAAGAAGCGCGGCCUGAGACUGAUGCCUUCGGGUGGCCGCAGCCAAAAUCGUCGUAAUCUGAGAGACGAUGCCUUCGGGCGGUAACACCGUUUAACCUUUGAGAACGGUGAUCGCAAACGCGAUAAAGGUACAC